CCUACGGGUGGCUGCAGUGGGGAAUAUUGCACAAUGGGGGAAACCCUGAUGCAGCGACGCCGCGUGAGUGAAGAAGUAAUUCGUUAUGUAAAGCUCUAUCAGCAGGGAAGAAAAUGACGGUACCUGAGUAAGAAGCCCCGGCUAACUACGUGCCAGAAGCCGCGGGUAUACGUAGGGGGCCAGCGUUAUCCGGAUUUACUGGGUGUAAAGGGAGCGUAGACGGCAGUGCAAGUCUGGAGUGAAAGGCGGGGGCUCAACCCCCGGACUGCUCUGGAAACUGUACGGCUGGAGUGCAGGAGAGGUAAGUGGAAUGCGCGGUGGAGCGGUGAAAUGCGUAGAUAUCAGGAGGAACACCAGUGGCGAAGGCGGCGUACUGGACUGUAACUGACGUUGAGGCUCGAAAGCGUGGGGAGCAAACAGGAUUAGAUACCCUGGUAGUC
rnacentral:rRNA from 1 species